GAUGAACGCUGGCGGCGUGCCUAAUACAUGCAAGUCGAGCGAACGGACGAGAAGCUUGCUUCUCUGAUGUUAGCGGCGGACGGGUGAGUAACACGUGGAUAACCUACCUAUAAGACUGGGAUAACUUCGGGAAACCGGAGCUAAUACCGGAUAAUAUUUUGAACCUCAUGGUUCAAAAGUGAAAGACGGUCUUGCUGUCACUUAUAGAUGGAUCCGCGCUGCAUUAGCUAGUUGGUAAGGUAACGGCUUACCAAGGCAACGAUGCAUAGCCGACCUGAGAGGGUGAUCGGCCACACUGGAACUGAGACACGGUACCGACUCCUACGGGAGGCAGCAGUAGGGACUCUUCCGCAAUGGGCGAAAGCCUGACGGAGCAACGCCGCGUGAGUGAUGAAGGUCUUCGGCUCGUAAAACUCUGUUAUUAGGGAAGAACAUAUGUGUAAGUAACUGUGCACAUCUUGACGGUACCUAAUCAGAAAGCCACGGCUAACUACGUG
rnacentral:rRNA from 1 species